GCCGGGGCGAUCAAUGCUUCCUCCGGUAUAAGCUGUUACUCGUGUGGUUCAAGUGGAUUGGCCAUGAUCUCAUCAAUACGGCUUACUAGAACUAUUGAGGGACUAGAGCUUGAUUGAUGUGUAGCAACGUCAUAGCUAAGCACUUGUGUACCACCACUAGACUGCAAGUCGUCAUUGUACCCACCACCAGCUGAAGAUGCUGCAAGAAUAAUCGGGGGCAGUUUUGUCGGCUAUCUGCUCAUACAAGAAAAAAAGAAAAAAAUAAAAAGGUCACAAGAGGGAAGGGAAAAAAAGGUUUAGUUAUUGCUCACAAAAGAGACUUGCUGAGUUACUAGUAUGCUUCCGUGCACAAAGAAGAAAUCCAAUUGACGAUUGGAAAGUAGCAACAAACAAAAAAAUCAUAGAGAACAAAUUGAUAUAGAACGAGGAGAAAUUUCAGAAAAUUUGAUGGAGAUCUUCGAACCUUGUUCUUAGGUUUUGUUUGGAGUUUUCUGAAGAGGAUGAUUUUGUCGAUCAGAUCGUGAGCAAUCGUCAACGAAAUUUUUAGGGAUUUGCCGACUGAAAUGAAAGAUUGAGAAAACUAAACAGAAUAUGUAAAAGAAGGAAAAGAGACAAACGGUUGAAUCCACUACUUCUAAACGAUUAUAUAUAUACUGUAUAUAGAAUAUUAAAUAAUAAAAUGAAAUGGG
rnacentral:lncRNA from 1 species